AGUGAACGCUGGCGGUAGGCCUAACACAUGCAAGUCGAACGGCAGCACAGUAAGAGCUUGCUCUUACGGGUGGCGAGUGGCGGACGGGUGAGGAAUACAUCGGAAUCUACUUUUUCGUGGGGGAUAACGUAGGGAAACUUACGCUAAUACCGCAUACGACCUACGGGUGAAAGCAGGGGAUCUUCGGACCUUGCGCGAUUGAAUGAGCCGAUGUCGGAUUAGCUAGUUGGCGGGGUAAAGGCCCACCAGGGCGACGAUCCUUAGCUGGUCUGAGAGGAUGAUCAGCCACACUGGAACUGAGACACGGUCCAGACUCCUACGGGAGGCAGCAGUGGGGAAUAUUGGACAAUGGGCGCAAGCCUGAUCCAGCCAUACCGCGUGGGUGAAGAAGGCCUUCGGGUUGUAAAGCCCUUUUGUUGGGAAAGAAAAGCAGCAGGUUAAUACCCCGCUGUUCUGACGGUACCCAAAGAAUAAGCACCGGCUAACUUCGUG
rnacentral:rRNA from 1 species